rnacentral:rRNA from 1 species
GAUGAACGCUGGCGGCGUGCCUAAUACAUGCAAGUCGAGCGAACGGACGAGAAGCUUGCUUCUCUGAUGUUAGCGGCGGACGGGUGAGUAACACGUGGAUAACCUACCUAUAAGACUGGGAUAACUUCGGGAAACCGGAGCUAAUACCGGAUAAUAUUUUGAACCGCAUGGUUCAAAAGUGAAAGACGGUCUUGCUGUCACUUAUAGAUGGAUCCGCGCUGCAUUAGCUAGUUGGUAAGGUAACGGCUUACCAAGGCAACGAUGCAUAGCCGACCUGAGAGGGUGAUCGGCCACACUGGAACUGAGACACGGUCCAGACUCCUACGGGAGGCAGCAGUAGGGAAUCUUCCGCAAUGGGCGAAAGCCUGACGGAGCAACGCCGCGUGAGUGAUGAAGGUCUUCGGAUCGUAAAACUCUGUUAUUAGGGAAGAACAUAUGUGUAAGUAACUGUGCACAUCUUGACGGUACCUAAUUAGAAAGCCACGGCUAACUACGUGCCAGCAGCCGCGGUAAUACGUAGGUGGCAAGCGUUAUCCGGAAUUAUUGGGCGUAAAGCGCGCGUAGGCGGUUUUUUAAGUCUGAUGUGAAAGCCCACGGCUCAACCGUGGAGGGUCAUUGGAAACUGGAAAACUUGAGUGCAGAAGAGGAAAGUGGAAUUCCAUGUGUAGCGGUGAAAUGCGCAGAGAUAUGGAGGAACACCAGUGGCGAAGGCGACUUUCUGGUCUGUAACUGACGCUGAUGUGCGAAAGCGUGGGGAUCAAACAGGAUUAGAUACCCUGGUAGUCCACGCCGUAAACGAUGAGUGCUAAGUGUUAGGGGGUUUCCGCCCCUUAGUGCUGCAGCUAACGCAUUAAGCACUCCGCCUGGGGAGUACGACCGCAAGGUUGAAACUCAAAGGAAUUGACGGGGACCCGCACAAGCGGUGGAGCAUGUGGUUUAAUUCGAAGCAACGCGAAGAACCUUACCAAAUCUUGACAUCCUUUGACAACUCUAGAGAUAGAGCCUUCCCCUUCGGGGGACAAAGUGACAGGUGGUGCAUGGUUGUCGUCAGCUCGUGUCGUGAGAUGUUGGGUUAAGUCCCGCAACGAGCGCAACCCUUAAGCUUAGUUGCCAUCAUUAAGUUGGGCACUCUAAGUUGACUGCCGGUGACAAACCGGAGGAAGGUGGGGAUGACGUCAAAUCAUCAUGCCCCUUAUGAUUUGGGCUACACACGUGCUACAAUGGACAAUACAAAGGGCAGCGAAACCGCGAGGUCAAGCAAAUCCCAUAAAGUUGUUCUCAGUUCGGAUUGUAGUCUGCAACUCGACUACAUGAAGCUGGAAUCGCUAGUAAUCGUAGAUCAGCAUGCUACGGUGAAUACGUUCCCGGGUCU